ensembl:lncRNA
CUUACCUGCUGACUGCUUAACAGUGGGUGUGAAUACCUGGCACUCAUUUACCAUGAAAGAAGAGUUGCACCGGACAACUCACGCCUUUCCCACUCUACGAAAAAGGUUCAUCUGCUAAUGUCAGUUGGCUGCAUCCACAGUGGAAGCUGUUCUCAUUCCUAAAGUGAAGAGGGAUUCAAGGAGCCAGACUGCCAAUGCAGCAUAAUUCUUUGUCCUGCUUUUCACACAGUGGGAGCUAUUCUCAUACACCACAUUAUAAAGUUGCUGCUGGCAUAUUCAGAGUUUCAUAUAGAGCGGAUGUUACCUGUGCAUUGUUGUAUUUUUGGUGGGAUGUGCCAUUUUCUGCUUUUUCUUUUCAGCUUUCUUCACAAGCAGCUCGACUGUGUUGUGGUUUUGUGAUGUUAUAAAGGUCAGCUCUGCACACUUCUCAAUGACGCAUCAUUGUAGGCGAUGUUCUUAUAACAUAUGAAAGACUGGAAUACAAAAUCAUGUGUAUAUAUCACCAGCUGAUGCGUGUGAAUAAAAUGCUUAAAGGUUUAACUGUAUUGGUUCCUUUACAUUAAAAUAAAAUCCUGUUUUUGUUGAUUUUUGCAGGGAAGCUUUCUUUGCCUUUAGACAAAAUUAUUUCAAAACAUUGUGUCUCUAUAAACACUUACAGUUUAUUUAAUAAUACUCGAUCUUACUGGUAUUGUUUUGUGAAGUUGAUAAAUACAACUUUUUUCUCCUUCUAUUUACUGAUGAUAGUCAUAUGAAAACUCAGUAUAGGCUGUAUAAAAACUCUGUAUAAAUUCAUCAGUCACAACAUUAAAGUCAAUGACACCUGGAAAUAAACAUUCAGUUCUUGAAGUGGAUCUUCAUCUGUAUCUGUGCAGCUCUGAUUAGAGCAAUCAGAACAUCUUAUUGAGGUUUCAAGUGGUGUUUUUUGUUUGCAUGUGGGUAGGGCU